rnacentral:rRNA from 1 species
UCUAAUCAGCUGUGGGUUAGUCUGGUCCUAAGGCGAACCCGAAAGGGACAGUCGAUGGCUAACGGGUUAAUAUUCCCGUACUACUAAUUACUGUGAUGGGGUGACGGAGUGAUGAAAGCGCCGCGAACUGACGGAAUAGUUCGUUGAAGUACCUACCUAUAGGAUCUGCAGGCAAAUCCACAGAUCUUGGGGAAAUACGAUAGUACUCGGAGUCUUCGGACAAAGAGAUAGUGCGCCUAAGGGCUUCCAAGAAAAACCUCUAAACUUCAGGUAAUUAGUACCAGUACCGUAAACCGACACAGGUAGUUGAGGAGAGAAUCCUAAGGUGCUCGAGAGAUUCAUGGCUAAGGAAUUAGGCAAAAUAGACCUGUAACUUCGGGAGAAAGGUCGCCAGCGCAAGCUGGCCGCAGUGAAGAGGUCCAGGCGACUGUUUAUCAAAAACACAGGGCUCUGCAAAAUCGUAAGAUGAAGUAUAGGGCCUGACACCUGCCCGGUGCUGGAAGGUUAAGAGGAGAUGUUAUCUUCGGAGAAGCAUUGAAUUGAAGCCCCAGUAAACGGCGGCCGUAACAAUAACGGUCCUAAGGUAGCGAAAUUCCUUGUCGGGUAAGUUCCGACCUGCACGAAUGGUGUAACGAUCUGGACACUGUCUCAGCCAUGAGCUCGGUGAAAUUGUAGUAACGGUGAAGAUGCCGUUUACCCGCAGUGGGACGAAAAGACCCUGUGCACCUUUACUAUAGCUUAGUAUUGACCUUGGAUAAAUGAUGUGUAGGAUAGGUUGGAGACUGUGAAGUGGCGUCGCCAGGCGUUGUGGAGUCAUUGUUGAAAUACAACCCUUUGUUUAUCUGAGGCCUAACCCCGUUUUGCGGGGGACAUUGCUUGGUGGGUAGUUUGACUGGGGUGGUCGCCUCCAAAAGAGUAACGGAGGCUUCUAAAGGUUCCCUCAGUACGCUUGGUAACCGUGCGUAGAGUGCAAUGGCAUAAGGGAGCUUGACUGAGAGACAUACAGGUCGAUCAGGUACGAAAGUAGAGCAUAGUGAUCCGGUGGUUCCGCAUGGAAGGGCCAUCGCUCAAAGGAUAAAAGGUACGCCGGGGAUAACAGGCUGAUCUCCCCCAAGAGCUCAUAUCGACGGGGGGGUUUGGCACCUCGAUGUCGGCUCGUCACAUCCUGGGGCUGGAGAAGGUCCCAAGGGUUGGGCUGUUCGCCCAUUAAAGUGGCACGCGAGCUGGGUUCAGAACGUCGUGAGACAGUUCGGUCUCUAUCUACUGUGGGCGUUAGAAAUUUGAGUGGAUCUGAUUCUAGUACGAGAGGACCGAAUUGGACAAACCUCUAGUGUAUCUGUUGUCCCGCCAGGGGCACCGCAGAGUAGCUACGUUUGGAAGGGAUAAGCGCUGAAAGCAUAUAAGCGCGAAACCCACCACAAGAUGAGAUUUCUUUUAAGGAUCGUGGAAGAUGACCACGUUGAUAGGCUAUAGAUGUAAAGGCAGUGAUGUCAUAGUCGAGUAGUACUAAUAAUCC